rnacentral:rRNA from 1 species
GACGAACGCUGGCGGCGUGCUUAACACAUGCAAGUCGAACGGAAAGGCCCUGCUUUUGUGGGGUGCUCGAUUGGCGAACGGGUGAGUAACACGUGAGUAACCUGCCCUUGACUUUGGGAUAACUUCAGGAAACUGGGGCUAAUACCGGAUAGGAUCUCCUGCUGCAUGUUGGGGGUUGGAAAGUUUCGGCGGUUGGGGAUGGACUCGCGGCUUAUCAGCUUGUUGGUGGGGUAGUGGCUUACCAAGGCUUUGACGGGUAGCCGGCCUGAGAGGGUGACCGGCCACAUUGGGACUGCGAUACGGCCCAGACUCCUACGGGAGGCAGCAGUGGGGAAUAUUGCACAAUGGGCGGAAGCCUGAUGCAGAAACGCCGCGUGCGGGAUGACGGCCUUCGGGUUGUAAACCGAUUUCGCCUGUGACGAAGAGUGAGUGACGGUAAUGGGUAAAGAAGCACCGGCUAACUACGUG